ACGGAGGGGGCUAGCGUUGUUCGGAAUUACUGGGCGUAAAGGGCGCGUAGGCAGUUUACCAAGUCAGGCGUGAAAGGCCUGGGCUCAACCCGGGAACUGCGCUUGAUACUGGUGGACUUGAGUCCGGGAGAGGAUGGCGGAAUUCCCAGUGUAGAGGUGAAAUUCGUAGAUAUUGGGAAGAACACCGGUGGCGAAGGCGGCCAUCUGGACCAACACUGACGCUGAGGAGCGAAAGCCAGGGGAGCAAACGGGA
rnacentral:rRNA from 1 species